ACUAUGAGGGAAUGAACGAAACAAAAGAAGAGCAAAGGUAUAAAAGAGAGGUGCCGUGCAGGUGUGGCAGCCGUUCUCGGAGAAAAUAGCUAACUCCAUUCAUGGAAAAUCAAAGUGAAAACUCCGAUGGAAAACCUAGUUCCGAUCCAACGUCGGAAUCAGCAACACUCCUUGAUCUUACGAGUUACCAGCUUCGCGAUCUGGAGUCAGUGGAGCUUCCUCCGAGUCUUACAGAGUUAGACUUGACAACCAAUCGUUUGUCCGCUUUAGACCCCCGUAUCGGCCAACUUCCUAACCUCAAAAAGCUCUCUCUUCGUCAGAACCUCAUAACUGAUGCCUCUGUUGUGCCUCUUUCCUCUUGGCAACUCAUUUCUGACCUCGAGGAGCUAGUGCUUAGGGACAAUCAGCUGAAGAAAAUUCCCAAUGUUGUGAUAUUCAAGAAGCUUCUGGUAUUUGAUGUCUCUUUCAAUGAGAUAUCAUCACUAAGUGGAUUGUCCAAGGUCUCCAGUACACUCAGAGAACUAUAUGUGUCUAAAAAUGAAGUCACCAAGAUGGAGGAGAUUGAGCACUUCCACGAGCUGCAAAUACUCGAACUUGGGUCCAAUAGAUUACGGGUUAUGGAGCUUCUGGAGAACUUGAAAAAUCUACAAGAGCUUUGGCUUGGACGCAAUCGUAUUCGGACAGUUAAUUUGUGCGGUCUGAAAUGCAUUAAAAAGAUUAGCCUGCAGAGCAACCGUCUAACUUCCAUGAUGGGGUUUCAGGAAUGUGUUGCCCUUGAAGAAUUAUACUUGAGCCAUAAUGGUAUUGUGAAAAUGGAAGGUUUGUCUACCUUGGUAAACCUGCGGGUCUUGGAUGUAUCAGCAAAUAAGCUUACAGAAAUUAAUGACAUUGAGAACUUGACUAAACUAGAAGAUUUGUGGCUUAAUGACAACAACAUAGCAUCAUUAGAAGGACUGGCAGAAGCUGUUUCCAGCACUAGAGAGAAGCUAACAACCAUCUACCUUGAGCGAAAUCCCUGUGCAAAAUCUCCAAAGUAUAUAAGUACUUUGAGACAAAUAUUCCCAAAUAUUGAGCAGAUUGAUUCUGAAGUGUACGCGUAAGUGCUUGGAUGUGGAUCUUAUGCAUGGUUGAUGCUG
rnacentral:misc_RNA from 1 species